AUUACUGUACCCUCCCGGCAGCCUCCGGCAGAACACGCAGCAGCAGCAGCAGUUAGCGCUGAUGCAACUAUCGUUGCUGUUGCCACCGCCUCCCCACUGACGGGGCGUGCACCUGGGGGGUACUUGCAGUUUCCAGGGGCAACAAGCAUCUCUCUACCACCCUCUCCUGCGCCCCUGAGAGAGGCUGUAUCUAGGCCCACAUGCAAUAUGACUUUGCAACUCAUCCCAUCAGAGGAUGGAAACUAUUUCUUCACCCCCUUGAACCUGGGCUGGCUUUGUAAUUUGUUUUGGCCAAUAGAAUGUGGUGGAAGUGAUGGUGUUACCAGAAAGAGUUCCCAAUCCAGACUCGUGCGAGAAAGAAUUUGAGAAAUGAAAGAACCAGAGCAUUAUAGCAGAACGAAUCCUGGAAUGGGAAUGGAAUGCCUGGAUUUGUGGCACAGUUGGGAAGCGUCCUGGCCAUGCCAUGUUAAAGCUGUCUCCAAGGCAGUGAUUCUUACCCUUGGCUACACAUUGGAGUCAUUUGGGAAGCUAGAAAAAAAAAAUGCCCAGGACCUGGGCAAGACGGCUGAAUAAGAACAGCUCUGGUCUGCAGUUCCUAGCAAGAUCAACGCAGAAGGGAAGCUGGCAGCCUGGGCUCUUGGAGAUUGUAUCUGGUGCCGGAGAGGACUGGCUCCCACACUCAGUGAGGGAGGAAUUUUACUGACCCAGCAUCCAGAUGAACUUUGGUGAGGAGAGGAGACGGAGUUUCACUGUUGUUGCCCAGGCUGGAGUGCAGUGGCGUGAUUUCAGCUCACGGCUACCUCUGCCUCCCGGGUUCAAGCAAUUCUCCUGCCUCAGCCUCCCAAGUAGCUGGGAUUACAGAUCAUGAACUGGCAGCCAUGUGGAAAGAAGACUAGACUGCGAAUCACUUAGGAUCCCACCCUCGGUUUAGUCUAGAAUACUCUGCGAAUCAGCUUUUUGGCCCUAGGUAGGAAAGAGACAAAUGGAAGCAAAAUAGCAAAAUGGUGAAGAGGAGGGUUCUAGAGGCAGAGAGCCCUGCAGUCCUGAGUCCUGAGUCCACCGUUUAACAGAGUGACUUUGCUCAGCCUGUGGAUUAUAAUGAAACUUGCCUGUUAUAGGAUCCAGUUUUUUAGGUGGUAGCAACAUGCUCAAGGAAGAUGCAGCCCCUUCCUCCAGCCUGAGAGAAUAAAGCAUCAUUGGCUUAUGCCAACCAUGGCAAUCCCAUUCCCCUUUUCUCAUGAUUGAUUUGGGAAUGGGCAAGUGACCCAGUUCUAACCAAUGAGACGAAAGAAAAAGUCUAUUGGUCAGCUUAUCUCAGAAGAUUUUUGUUUCCUGCUAUAAAGAGAAACAGUAAGUUCCUUCCUGCCUGACUUAAAUGCAAUUGUGUGCAAACAUGUUACUUGGAGCUACAGCAACGAUUCUGUGACCAUGAGGCAAUAAGCCAAGGACAAAGGAUAGAAUAGUGAAAAGACAGAGUAUUGGAUUUUUUUUAUGAUAUCAUUGAACUGCUGGACCAAUGUGGAACCAUCUACUUUUAGUCUUUCAUGAUUUGUGAGAUGAUUAAACAUUUCUUUUUUUUAGCCAUUAUUUCUUUUCUGUUACUUGCAACUGAAGACAUCCUACAUAAUACAAACACUAUCCAACUUGGAUUGUAAUUUAUCUAUUUUCAGAUCUGUGUGUUCUGUCUUACUGAUUUUUGUAUUCUUAGCACUGAGUAUAAGGCUGCUACUUAGUAAGACUUCAAUAAAUGACUGUUUAAAAAGGUCUUAGAGGAUUUAAAAAAAAUUCUGAAGUUGCUGAAAUAUGAAGACCAGGAACCAAUUUCAGGUUCUAUAAAUUUCUCGCUUCCUUCACUUCUGGAGUAGUCUUCAUUUCUGUCUGAUUCUACCUUUACUAAAAUGAAUGAAUGAUUGAGAAAUACGAAAAAUGGCUGGUAUAGUGGCUACUGCUGAGAAGUAUCUCUUGGAAAUUCCCGGAAAUUCCAUCAGUCACAUUCAGACCUAACUCUCUGAUGAUCAAUGUUUCUGAACUCAAACCAGUGUACAUAAGCAGUGGACUAUUUAAAGUGGUAUUAGCCUAGAAUAUCUAGGACCCAUGUUUUAUGCAUUCAGUAAGCGUUUGUUUAAUGUCUGUUAUCUACCAGGCACAUUAUUAUGCAUUGGGCAUAUAGAGAUGACCAACCACACGGCCUCAAUCCUUGAAAAGCUUACAGUAACCAAAUAGGGUUAACGGCCUAAAGAGAGGUAAUUACAAGUCUUACACUCAGUCUUCUUAGCAUAGUAUGGUGCUACCUCUGAGUUAAUUAAGAUAACAAAAUUCCUAGAUAUAUAUCUUUGAUGAAACGGUUUCCAUGAAAACUUUCCAAGUUUGGUCCCUCCCCGGCUGAGUUCAUUUUGGAAGGUGACUUUCUGCUCUCAUCACCUAAGGUCCUUAACACGUAUCCUGUGUUCUCCGGAGGCACCCCUUGCCCAGAGUGUGCCCUCUGCAUGGUUCCCCCAGAACACCUAUUUCAAAGGAAAAGAAGUUGGAUCAUUCAGUGAAGAUUUGGGGGGCCACUUUUCUACGUGGGAGGAUUAUGAGUAUUACCUUCCUCCCCUAUGUAUUAGUAAAUAUAAAGAAAACAUAAAUUAACCCCCUUUCUGGCUGGGCACGGUGGCUCACGCCUGUCAUCCCGCACUAUGGGAAUCCGAAGUGGGCGGAUCACUUGAGGUCAGCAGUUUGAGACCAGCCUGGCCAACAUGGCAAAACCCCGUCUCUACUAAAAUAUAAAAAUUAGCCAGAUGUGGUUGCACACAUCUCUAGUCCCAGCUACUCGGGAGGCUGAGGCACAAGAACUGCUUGAGCCUGGGAGCAAGGGUUGCAGUGAGCUGAGAUUGUGCCAUUGCACUCCAGCCUGGGUGACAGAGCAAGACUCUGUCUCAAAAAAAUAAAAUAAAAUAAAAAUAAUUUAGACCCCAUUCUUCUUAGAUAACCAUGACUUCUGAAGGAGGUCAGAGCUCUUGUGCUCUGCAUCUCUGCUCCAUCAGCCUCAAGGCCACCUUUCAGGUCCACAUGAAAUAUAAGUGCACAAAGGCACCAGACUUAGCAUUAUUAGUUUCCCCCACUGGUCUGAUUUUUGUAGAAAUUGCCAGGAACUGAUUUUCUGCCCUUCCUUCCUAACAGACAAGCCUUCCAGCCCUCCCUGACACAGCUCUUCCCUAUCUCCUACUCUCUGGUCAUCAAGCUUUUAGAGAUGCCCUGGCCUUCUCUAGUUGCCCCAGCUGUAUUUUUUCUUCUUGGGAAUGCGUUGAUUCCAGAGCCUGACUGGGAAUAAAUCUCAGCUCCUCCAUUUAGCAGUUAUGGGAUUCAAGUUACUCUUACUCCCAGGGACUCAGUUUCUGCACCUGUAAAAUGGAGAUUUACCACCUUUCGUUCCAGCAUUACUGAUAUUGUUUGGCUCUGUGUCCCUACCCAAAUCCCAUCUCGAAAAUUAAUCCCUAUAGUCCCCACCUGUUGAGGGUCCUGGUGGGAGGUAAUUGGAUCCUGGGGGCGGCUUUUCCCAUGCUGUUCUCGUGAUAGUGAGUAAGUUCUCACGAGAGCUGACGGUUUUAUAAGUGUUUGACAGUUUCUCCUUCACACGCUCUCUCUUCUGUCUCCUGCCAUCAUGUAAGAUGUGCCUGCUUCUCCUCCUCUCAUGAUUGCAAGUCUCCUGAGGCCUCCUCAGCCAUGAAGAACUGUGAGUCAAUUAAACCUCUUUCUUUUAUAAAUUACCCAGUCUUGGGUAUUUCUUUGUAGCAGUGUGAAAACAGACUAAUGCAAUUACCAUAAUGGGCUUUCAAUUGAUGAACUUGCAUCACUGAC
ensembl:lncRNA VLDLR-AS1 VLDLR antisense RNA 1